CAACACCACGCCCCACUGCCUUCAGGCCUCAGGCCUCUCCCAUUGGUCAGAAGAGACCUUGGCUGCGCGUGCCUUCUUUUUGUCCCCGCCUCCUCUCGCCACUGUUUCCACUGAGGCCCGCCUCCCAGUUUCGAUUGGUGUCUUCUAGGCACUCGAGCUCCUACGCUAAUUCUGAUUGGCUAUCGAGGUUGCAAAGUUAGCGCGCGAGACAGAGGUGGAGUCCUGAUCGUGGACUGUUCUGGUCCUACAAGACCAAAGAUAAUUCCCGCCAAAUUUCAAAGACUUGCUCUAGGCUGCGCAGUGAUAUGCAAAGGAGAAAGCUGAGAUCCGGAUAACAAAAGGAGUCAGUCAUGUGGCGAUCAGUUGAAGAGCAUCCCCGACACUUGGAAAAACCCGCAAAAACCCUAAAGCCCUGCUUCCUGUGUUGAAGCAGCGAGAAAAGAAAGCCAGCAUGGUUGGAGGAUGAAAUAGGAAAGUCCAACCUAAAAUUCAUAAGAACUCUCAAAGGGUGCAAAAUAGCCUAAAGAAUCUUAAAAAUGAACAAAGAUGGAGGAUUCAUACUUUGUUGGUUUUUUCCCAAAACUUACUACAAAACUACAGAAAUCAAAACGGCACGGUACUAGGGUGAAGCCAAAUAUAUGGACUGAUAAU